rnacentral:lncRNA from 1 species
UUGUCUGCACGGGCCCUUCCCCCUCCUCAGCACCUACCCCAACAAAGGAAAUCAUCCUGAUAUGAAAGGGAAAAUUAAAUUACCCCAAUAAAGACUUAGCGCUGCUUUAAUGACAUCACCAGACUCAGGCGCUAAUUAGCUGAGUACAAAGGAAGCUAAAUGUGAAAACGUGAAUUUUUGUUCCCUUUUCUCCUGUCUUAGAGUCUCCGGAGCGGGAGUCUUGGCACACAUGGCAGGAGGAGCUGCUCCCGGCCGGCCAGGUGGGCUGCGGGUGCUGCGCCAGGCUCCGGCGGCAGCUGGGUGCUGUCGUUGCAAAGCGGCACUAGCAGCCCUGGGGGUGAAAAGCUCCUGAAGGUUUGGUGAGAUGAAUAUAGGAACUGCAGUCCAUUUAGAUCCUGCCAGGGACUUCUGCAGGUCCCCGGGGUGCCAACGCUUGGAUAACUCCCUGCUGAGUGCCACCCCGAGCCACCAUGCUCUGCCACCCUGCUAUACCCAGCCUUGCACGUGCAGCCACGCAUGGCCCUGCUCUCACCACAUUCGUGCAUCCACACUCGCCUCACACUGCACACCGCGCUGCACAGGCUCACACCUCCCGCUGCAAGCCUGCCCUGGGCACGCACCCAGAGCACUGCAUGCUCACACCUCGCACGGCAUGCUGCACUGCCCAAACUCGCUGCUUCCAAUGAGCGCACUGCUUGCACACCCCUUACGUUGCAUACCACGCGGCACAACUCAGACCCCGCACGGUGAGCGUGCGCUGCGUGUGCAUACCUCACGUUGCCUACUGCAGCGCGCAGCCGCACACGGGACACCCUGCGCGCAUACCUUGCGCGGUGCGCCGCACUGCAAGCAUGCACGCACCUCACAUCGCGCACAUGAACUGCGCGCACACCUCCCACUGCACGUGCAGCAUGCCCGUGCACACCUCACACUCUGCACCUGCACAUGCACGCUUUGCUCUCAGUGCGCGUGCGCUGCACACGUGCCCCGCACAAGCCCUCUGCACAGAUGCCCCCCCCUCGUCCUGUGUGCAUGCACUGCGCGAGCAGACAGUUCACACCGCAAGCCCCCGUGCACACACACCUCACUCUGCAUACAGCCGCACAGGGGCAGCUGUGCCAGCUGCACCCCCCCCCCCGACUCCCAGGCCACUUGCUGGNNNNNNNNNNNNNNNNNNNNNNNNNNNN